AGGAAUUUCAAGAUUCGAGAGAAGGAGAAAGAGAAGGAGGGGAAAAUAUGGAGAAGGAGAGGAAGAGGAAGAGAAAGAGUUGGAGAGAAGGAAAAAGAGAGAAAAUAAGAGUCCAAAAGUUUGAGAAUUAAAAUUUUGGGUCCCGAGAAAUUGUAGCGUGAAGGGUUAAAUCAAGACAACUUUGAGGAGCAUAUCAAGAAUCAAGCAUAGCAAGCACAUAGGCGGGGUUAGAGAGAGCAAUUUAAAAUAAAUACUAGUAUAGUACCAGCUGGAAAUGUUUUUAUGCUUUGGAAUUUUUAAGAAUGUUAAUUUUUUAUGUUGGAGAUACUCAUGUAAUGCAGUUAUUUAGCACUCUGGAAUAAAAGUUGAUGAGGUUUUAUU